GUGGUUAAAAGUAAUUGAAGAAUGCUUUGUUAAGGCAAUUAACAAAAGUUGAUCGAGCACUGAAGAGUAAACGUCCACAAAGCAGGCUAGAAAAAGUAAGUGAACCUUUGAAUUUAAUAACCUGUAGAUCCCUCUUUAGCAGAAAUCAGAACAGCAACUCAGAACAUUGCAAUGAUUAACCCUAACAAUGAUUAAUCCACACAAAGAUGUGCUGAAAUGUUUUGUAGAGGCUUUGGAUCAGUUCAAUAAUGAGAUAAAGGGUGCAUAUGAUUUUAAUUUUAAAUCACUGAAUUUUCAGAAAGAAUCUCCAGUCUCCAGGUGAUGGGAUUAAAACAUCUGAUCUUUCUAAGGUGGAGUUUCACAUCUUAACGUCAUCUCCACACUCCUCUCUAAUUAUGUAAUCCAGCAACGCAAACAGAUCAAAUUGCAUUUGUUAAGAGAUAAGGCUGAUUUUAGUUGCUGUUAGAUUACAUUUAUUUUGCUUUUUAUACUUUUUUCACAACAAGUUAAUGUAAUUGUGCAAAUUAUUUGUGUUACCCUCAUUUUCACCUUAAAUAAAACAUAAAAUGUU